rnacentral:tRNA from 1 species
GCGGAUGUAGCCAAGUGGAUCAAGGCAAUGGAUUGUGAAUCCAUGAUGCGCGGGUUCAAUUCCCGUCGUUCGCCC